GAUACCGCGCGGUGAAACACCACUUCCCAUUCAUUUUAAUGGAAGGAAAGCGGUGAGAAACGGAGAGGGCGGGGACCUUUGGGCGGUGAAAAAUAUAAACUUUUUCCAACUUUAUGCAAAUCACCAGCGGCGACCGCUGGGCGAUGACCAAUCAUAUCGAGUGGUUCCCAUGAGGAAUUUGACGCUAUGCGACCGAAGGCUGGAGUCUUUCUUCAGCAAAGAUGGCUGACAAAAAUAUUAGGAUGGACGCAAAUGGACUCCUGAAACAACUAGCAAACCAGACUGUCGUCUUGUGAAACAGUGGUUGUAAAUAAUCUAGCUAGCUAAAGCAUUUACUGCAAAUUGAAUGUAGCUUCAAUUGUGUAAGCUUGCCUUGCUGAUAUUUGCCAUGCAAUGCAGAUAGAUGAAAUAACGUAGCUAUGUUCUUGCUUAUUGUCCAGUGGAGGAUAAAAAUACCUGUAUGCCUAUGGAUGUGUAGCUAGCUACCUUGCUGAUCUGUGUAUGGACCCAAACGUUUGGUAUACAUAUUAGUUCAGAACCUAGCUAUGAACCUCAGCUAUCAUAGCCGGUUGUAUCAACUUCAAAACAGUCUGAAUGACAUUAAUGAAGCCUAUGGAUUGAGUAGAAUAUAAUAUAACUUUGUGCCAAGGAUGCAAGUCGUAUAUACAGGUAGUUAUUGCCAUGCAUGAGAUCCCCACAUUGUAGCCUGUACAUUUAAUAUAUUCACUGAUCAUGUACUCUACCAUGGCAAAUAAAGGUGCAUUUCAGGUA